UUUAUAUUCAAAUUCUUUCGCUCUGCAAGACAUCCAAGAAUUCAUUCUUAGAUGAGGCCAAGUACUUGAGUGUUUUACCUCUUUUAUUCUCAAAAUUCAGUUUUGAUUAUACGAUUUGCAGUAGAAAUUGAGAGUAGCUUAAGAGGUGACAUUUCAUCAGCAGUAUGGAAAAUGAAUAGUUAUUGUAUUGGAGGAACCGUGAAACUUCGAAGGGAAGACACACAAAAAAAGAAAAAAAAGAAAAAAGAAAAAAAAAAAGGAGGCCUACUACACACGCUUCUUGCAUGCUCACACAAUUUAACAAAUGUUUUAUCUUCUUAAGGGGUCAGCGUUCAACCAUAGCUGACAAGGUUAAGUGUUUUAUACUUUCCAAUCUUUCUUCUUUCUGUAGAAUUUAAGAAACUGUGAUGUAAAUUCAAGACAAAGAAUGGAAAAUUUUGAAGAGAUUAAUUCUCCUAUACGAUUUGCACUUUUGUUCCUCCACAAAUUUUUUGAAUCGGAACAUUUUACAAGAAACAUUUACUAUAUUUUUGUAGGUUGUGUAUGAGUAUUCCUACUUUUGUUACCCUUUUGUUGCUUCAGACAGUAAUGCUAACCUUUGUGAGCCCCUGUAGACCUUCAGAAUAG
rnacentral:lncRNA from 1 species